rnacentral:rRNA from 1 species
UACGUAGGUGGCAAGCGUUAUCCGGAUUUAUUGGGCGUAAAGGGAACGCAGGCGGUCUUUUAAGUCUGAUGUGAAAGCCUUCGGCUUAACCGGAGUAGUGCAUUGGAAACUGGGAGACUUGAGUGCAGAAGAGGUGAGUGGAACUCCAUGUGUAGCGGUGAAAUGCGUAGAUAUAUGGAAGAACACCAGUGGCGAAAGCGGCUCUCUGGUCUGUAACUGACGCUGAGGUUCGAAAGCGUGGGUAGCAAACAGG